AGAGUUUGAUCCUGGCUCAGAACGAACGCUGGCGGCAGGCCUAACACAUGCAAGUCGAACGCCCUAGCAAUAGGGAGUGGCAGACGGGUGAGUAACGCGUGGGAACCUUCCCUAUAGUACGGAAUAUACCAGGGAAACUUGGAGCAAUACCGUAUACGCCCGAAAGGGGAAAGAUUUAUCGCUAUAGGAUGGGCCCGCGUAGGAUUAGCUAGUUGGUGAGGUAAUGGCUCACCAAGGCGACGAUCCUUAGCUGGUCUGAGAGGAUGAUCAGCCACACUGGGACUGAGACACGGCCCAGACUCCUACGGGAGGCAGCAGUGGGGAAUAUUGGGCAAUGGGCGCAAGCCUGACCCAGCCAUGCCGCGUGAGUGACGAAGGCCUUAGGGUUGUAAAGCUCUUUUGGCGGGGACGAUAAUGACGGUACCCGCAGAAUAAGCCCCGGCUAACUCCGUGCCAGCCGCCGCGGUAAUAC
rnacentral:rRNA from 1 species